GUGAUCGCUUAAGCAGCACAUAUAAAAUUGGUACAAUACAGAGAAGAUUAGCAUGGCCCCUGCACAAGGACGACAUGAAAAGAUAUUGCAUAGCAAAAGAAAUCA
ensembl:snRNA U6 U6 spliceosomal RNA